rnacentral:rRNA from 1 species
AAAACGCCGAGAUGCGAUGACGAGAGCGAAUGCUCACAAAGUCGUUGAUCCCAAGCUUCCAAGAAAAGCCUCUAAGCUUCAGGCAACAGGAGACCGUACCGUAAACCGACUCAGGUGGGUGAGGAGAAAAUCCUAAGGUGCUUGAGAGAACACUGGUUAAGGAACUCGGCAAAAUGAUACCGUAACUUCGGGAGAAGGUAUGCCCUCAUAAGGUGUAGCGAUACGCACGUGAAGCCGAAGGGGGUCGCAGAGAAAUGGCGGUAGCGACUGUUUACUAAAAACAUAGGACUCUGCAAAGUCGAAAGACGAGGUAUAGGGUCUGACGCCUGCCCGGUGCCGGAAGGUUAAGGGGAUUUGUCAGCGCAAGCGAAGCUUUGAACCGAAGCCCCGGUAAACGGCGGCCGUAACGAUAACGGUCCUAAGGUAGCGAAAUUCCUUGUCGGGUAAGUUCCGACCUGCACGAAUGGCGUAACGAUUUCCGCGCUGUCUCAACCAGUGGCUCAGCGAAAUUGAAUUCUCGGUGAAGAUGCCGAGUACCCGCGGCAAGACGGAAAGACCCCGUGAACCUUUACUACAGCUUGACAGUGACAUUCGGAAUAGCUUGUGUAGGAUAGGUGGGAGCCUGAGAAGCUGGUACGCCAGUAUCGGUGGAGGCAACCUUGAAAUACCACCCUGGUUGUUUUGGGUGUCUAACCUGGGCCCGUCAUCCGGGUCGGGGACACUGUCUGGUGGGUAGUUUGACUGGGGCGGUCGCCUCCCAAAGAGUAACGGAGGCGCGCGAAGGUUCCCUCAGCCCGAUUGGAAACCGGGCGUAGAGUGCAAAGGCAUAAGGGAGCUUGACUGCGAGACGGACAUGUCGAGCAGGUACGAAAGUAGGUCUUAGUGAUCCGGCGGUUCUGUAUGGAAGGGCCGUCGCUCAACGGAUAAAAGGUACUCCGGGGAUAACAGGCUUAUCUCCCCCAAGAGUUCACAUCGACGGGGAGGUUUGGCACCUCGAUGUCGGCUCAUCGCAUCCUGGGGCUGAAGUAGGUCCCAAGGGUUUGGCUGUUCGCCAAUUAAAGCGGUACGCGAGCUGGGUUUAAAACGUCGUGAGACAGUUUGGUCCCUAUCUGCCGUGGGCGCAGGAUACUUGAGAAGAGCUGUCCUUAGUACGAGAGGACCGGGAUGGACGUACCUCUAGUGUUCCAGUUGUUCCGCCAGGAGCAUUCGCUGGGUAGCUAUGUACGGAAAGGAUAACCGCUGAAAGCAUCUAAGCGGGAAGCCUCCUUCAAGAUAAGGUAUCCCCGGGAGCAAUCCCCUGAAGGCCCGUUGUAGACCACAACGUUGAUAGGCCGGGUGUGUAAGCACAGCAAUGUGUUCAGCUUACCGGUACUAAUCGGCCGUGAGGCUUGACC